CGGAUAGUGAGGGUGGUGAUAUGGUUCCUCCGGUUGAGCGCUGGUGUUUAGUUUGCCCGCCGCAAUCGACACCUCCGCUAGCUGGGUGAGAUUGUAGAGUUCCUCUGGAACGCUGCUCGGCAUUUCCUGUACCAUUUCUCCCAGUCUAUCUGUGGUGAAGCUAAAAGAUGAAAAGCAGACGGAAGAACAAUUAAUAUCCAACUUCCCCCUGAACCAUCUAUGAAGGGGACUAAAAGUUAUGAGUGUUAAGGAGUACUUGGAAGUUCAUCAUCUUAAUUCACGUACUUUCGAGUGGGAACGAAUCCAGGCAAAGGUGAGGGAUAGUUUCAAACUAUUUGUAUUCUCAAUACAAAAAAAAACUUGAAUCUUCAGUGGUUUAAUUGGCUUUGAAAACCCUAUUGAAGCUUUUUUUUGUAAAUAACAUUGCUUUGAACUUGGCACACAUCUUCUGGACAACAUCGUAUCGUAUGCAAUGUAUUCCAACGGAAAAGAAAAACAGUGUAAUAAGUUUGGAUGAAAUUACCUAUCAAAUAGAACUUACUUCUGCAUUACUUCAUUACUUCAAACUAUUAGAUCCGACCAAAAUGGCGUGUAUGGAUAGUGCUUUAUUAGGGCAUGGAUGCACUCCUGGGGUACCAUCUUCGUGAUCUUAUCGAAAAGUUAAUUCAACAUAAAUAGAGCUGAUUAAACGACUCGAUUUGAAACAAAACCAGAACAGAGGAGUGUCUACCGAAUCAAGAGCAAUCUACGAGUGUGGAGCAUUCGGAACGAAUUACAAACAGUUCAACAUUGAUUGAAGUGAACCGAUUUCGGUUGAAAGUAUGAAAAUUGUUCGUCAAUUGAACUGAAGUAAGCAUACCUACUGUGAUAGAAGAUGCUCUACUGAUUAGGCUAAGUAAAAAAUGCUCUCCCAACGAAUCGGUAUUCUGGAAAAUUGAGCUGUUUUAAUUCAAAAUUCUAUUCACUUGUAUAUUAUGUACACUGAUGACAAUUGAAGAAUUGUUAUACCUCAGCAAAAACAAUAUUUCCAUUGAAAACUGCUUUCGAGAAACUUUCGAGUAGCCUACUGUGUUUGUACAUAAAAUCCACAACAAAUUAAAGGAACAAGGUCGUUCAUUUAA